rnacentral:lncRNA from 1 species
UUCAAGCCCAGGGAUGUUGUGAGCUUUAAAGUCCAAAAUAUGAAAGUGUUUAAAGUGAUGUCUGUGAACAGAAGGGAGGACAAGAGAACUCGGAUGAGGGUGAGGUUGGACUCAGGCAUUUGAAGUCAUACUUCCUCUGGGCGCGUUUCCUCUCUUGGAAAAGGGAGCACGUACCACAUUUGGAUGACAGCGGGCAUCCAGGGCGUUGCCCCGCACACGGGAGGCUCCGUCCACGUCUGUUGACUUUCCCGAGAGGCCCCUCUUGCUCUGCAGUCAGGAGCCCAGACUCAAAUCCCUGCCAGCUUGCGGGGCUGGGCAAGGCGCCUCAGCCCUGAGCCUCUUUCCUUGUCUUGAAAGAUGGGCUCGUAGAACCCACCUUACCGGUUGUCCUGAGGACUAAAAGAGAGAAAGGAUGUGAGUCCCUGAGACAUGGUUGGUGAGUGUUGAGUGGAAGAAUGAGAAGAAACUUAUCUGGACAGAUCUGGUUUAUCGUCACCAUCAUAGGUUGGCCAGAAGCCCCGUGUUCUCACUCCUGCUGAGCCCCCUGGGGUGGCUGAUGCUGAAAGGGAAGAGCAGCGCCCCCGGAAGAUGCCUGUGCCCUGGAUUCUCCAUCACACGCCUUUCGGUCACCUGGGUCUUCUCUCAGCUGCUCUGUGUCUUAGUGUGGCUGCCAGCCUUGUGCAGGGCCACGGACACACACACUCUACGAACUGCUAUGAAAGUUUCAGCCCUAAAUUCCAGGAGACGAGAGAGGACAGAAGGAGUUUGCCACCCUCUGCCACUGUGUGUCUCUGAGAUGCCAUGUCCCCUCCCUGCAGCAGGGGCCCCAGGUCCCAAUGCUGUGCCUGGCCCUCAGCUGGACACUUCUACGGGAUUCCCAGCCAGUGCCUGGUACUUCCUCCCAGGUGGGCAAGGAGCUCUAACAAUCCACAUGUGUCCUCUCCGGCACCCAGCAUCUUUGCAUCAAAAUCAGAGGAAAUCAGGACACAGACACACAGAGGGAGACCGUGUGAAGACACGGGGCGAAGACGGCCGUCUGCAAGCCCAGGAGAGAGGACCCCGAUGGAAUCCACCCUGAGACACCUUGAUCGCAGACUCCCAGCCUCCAGAACCGUGAGAGAAUCAAUGUCUGUCGUCUGAGCCCCCCAGCAUGGUCCUUUGUUGAGGCUGGCCCAGCAAACGGCCACACCAAUGACAGAAAGAGGCUGCUGGAGGGGGCGCGAGAAGGUAAAGGUCUCCCUUCCCAGGAUCAUGACACAGACGCUGGACCACGUUCUCAUGAAAACUCUCCAAGUCCUUUGAAAUGGUUACUUUUCCUUUUGUUUAAAAAAUUUUAUUAAAAAAGUGACAUAUGGGGGCUGGCCCCGUGGCCGAGUGGUUAAGUUCGCGCGCUCUGCUGCAGGCAGCCCAGUGUUUCGUUGGUUCGAAUCCUGGGCGCGGACAUGGCACUGCUCAUCAGACCACGCUGAGGCAGCGUCCCACAUGCCACAACUAGAAGAACCCACAACGAAGAAUAUACAAGUAUGUACCGGGGGGCUUUGGGGAGAAAAAGGAAAUAAUAAAAUCUUUAAAAAAAAAAAAAAAGUGACAUAUGCUCUUUAAAGGAAUAGUGGAAAAUAGAGGGGCUCAAUGGAGAGGGGCAGUCACCAAUAAGCCAUUGCUGCCCCAGUCCAACCCCCAUUAGCAUUUCUGGGGCUCUGGCCUUCUCACUCCAUCACCCUUGGUGACUCAGCUCGGGUGCCACCGCUUACUGGAAGCCCUCCUUGGUUUCUUCCCCCUGACCUCAUGCCCCUCCUAGCACCUGCAUUUACCUCCAUCACUACCUCAACAAUGGCCCCAUAGCUCUGCUUGUUCUCUCUGUGUUUCCAGCUGCCUUUUCAGCUGGGAGUUUGAGGCGCCAACUCCAGUGUCCAGCUUCUCUCCAGGAGGGCAUCCGAGGAGAAUAAAUCAAACUGAUGUUUUAUUUUGGGUUCUGUGUGGACAGUGGUUGUCCUCCAAAACGUUCUCGGAUUGCUACUUGCAAUGCUGUCUAAAUCCAUUUAUCCACCUGCACUUUAGGGGCAAAGGCUGGUAUAUAAUUAGUCUUUCAGGAACUGUGGGCUUCCCUUGGGGUUCAAGCCUCGUAUCCCCAGGGCUCUCACUUCCUGACCCAAAACUGCGGCUCCCGUUCUGAUGAGGGAGGGUGCUCAGAGGAACAGGAACCCGGAUAUUUGAAAGGAAGCGAGGCAAAGCUGGAGCGUGUGGUCCCUGUACAUCUUGGUGUCUCUUCAGCCAGGGAGGGGAGGCUUGGUGCUGGCGCCUGGUGUGCAAGCCCCCGGUCACACGGCUUUAAGGACAUGGCUGAACUGUGCUUUUCUCUUGUCAAAUAUUUAUUGCUCUCAUCCUGAUUCCGGGUCAAAUUACUGUUGGAAAAAAAUGUUUCAAUCACAGAGGCUGAAUCAGUUUGAAAACACAACGGUUCCCAUCUGCUGCAGGACUGUAGACUAACCCACAGAUCAUGCUGGAGGCCAGGACUGAGGUUUGAAGAAGGACGACGACUGAGAAUCGGGAAAUAAACACAUGGGCACCGAGGCAGCGAAGGACCGGCUGGCACUGCAGGACGGCCGUCCUCCUGCUCCCCCUCCUUUCCCCCUCCUCCCCCUCCUUUCCCCCCUCACUCUCCUUCUCUCAAUCUCCCUCUUCCUCCCUCUCCUCUCUCUCUCUCUCUCUCUCUCUUUCUUAACUGGCUUGCUCCUUUCCUUUCUGUCUCCUCAGCCAGCCUUCCCCCUACCCCCGAUCCCCGACUUUCAGUCAUGAGUCCUUGUCUUAUAGAUCUAUAAGAUUGGGGGGCCCUUAGCAAUCAACUGAUCAAUUCAACUGUCCCCUUGUUUUAGGCUUUUCCUUGUAUUGCCUUUUUUUUUUAUUGCAAUAGAAAAAUGCAUAACAAAAUCUACCAUUUUAAAGUGUACAGCUCAGGAGUGUUAAGUAUGUUUACACUGUUACGUCAACCAUCUCAUUUUACAGAUGGGAAGCCUGAGGCUCAGAGAGGACAUAAGCCACAGGACGGAACCAGCAGAGCAAGAACUCACCCUGGGCCUGUGGAUGGCCUCCUGGGUCCUGAGGAGGCAGGACACACCUAAGGGCAGAGCAGGGUGGGGAGGGAGAGGCCCCGCAUGAGCAGAAGAGGCUGGGUCGUAUUCAGACCGUGGUCUGAGCUCUGAUCCGUCCUCCUCCUCAGCUGGAAAAGGUCUAAAAUAUCAAGUGAAACCUUGAAAACGUGAUGCUAAGUGAAGAAGCCACAUACAAAAGGUCACACGGUGUAAAUUCCAUUUGUGUGAAAUUCCCAGAACAGGUAAACCCACAGGGACGGAAUGGGGCUGGUGGUUGCCAGGGGUGGCGGAGGGGGCAGUGGGGAUAAUGGUCAAUGGAUGCAGACCUUUAUUAUGGGGUGAUGACACUGUUUCAGAACUAGAUAGAGGUGGUGGUCGCAUAACACGGUGAAGGCAUGGAAUGAAUUGUUCACUUUCAAAAAUGGUUAACUUUCUGUCAGGUGAAUGUCACCUCAGUUGAAAACGUGUUUUUCCACCAGAUUCUUAGUGUGUCCUAUAGAUGACAAAAUAUCAAAUGACGGUCGUUUUUACUGACAGAGUUGUGUGCGUCAUGUCACACUCCAAGGAGACCUGGCCUUUGGUUGCCCUGAGGACUUCAGAGACCGCUGUGACAGUGGCUUGUAUGUGGCUGCAGGUGACAGCAUGCUCCCUUCUCUGGAUGUUUUCUUGCCUUCUCCCCUCUGCAGGCCCUUGACACCGGCCGCUCAUCCCUCAGGGCUUAGCUCAGGCAUCACCUCUUUCGAGAAGCCCUCCUUGAUUCCUUCCCCCCCGGUUACAUGCACUUGCAUGCUCCCUGUGUUUGCUGUGACCAUUCCUGUGAGCAGUGACCCAUGCACCUGUCUGCACCCCACCCUGUCCAUGUACCCCUGAGGUCAGGGACCCUGUGGAGGCAGAGUGGGGAGGAAACUACGUUGUAGAUCUUGGUGCCACAUUGGCCUGGGUUCAAAACCUGGCUCAGCCAACUUAUUAGCUCUGCGACCUUGGGACAAGUUGCUUAGCCUUCAGGAACAUCAGUUUCAGGUGUAGAGAAUGAAGAUAAUGUUUUCCUUAUGGGGCUGCGCCAAGGAGCCUUGGUUGUAUAAUCUCAUUGCCUGCGAGAUGCUUAGCUCCGCCUCCUCCUCGUUGUUAGGAUUAUUAGAUUGCUGCCUGUUUUUCCGUAGUUUCAGCCCUUUCUGAAUAUUUUCAAACCAUCUUGCUGACCAUUUGGACAACAAACUGGGCAGAAUGCCUCACCGAUGGGGCAGCCUGGUGUCCAGAGGGAGGGUGGCAGUGGCACGGGAGGGGCGAGCUGGGGGAGCUGAGGCAGCGAGGAGGUGAGUGGGGGGUGAGUGUUUGGGGACAGCGACGCGUGCUGUUGUGUGUGGACAGGAGAGGAUAUUUAGGCUGACUCCUACCUCUAGCCGUGUGAUGCGGCCCGAGACUCGCCCUCUCUGAGCCUCCACUUGCGCUUCUGUAAGUUGAGACUCUGGAGACUAUUUCCCUGGAGUGUUGCGAGGGUGAAAUGAAGGCCCUGGUGGGCUGACCUGAUGCAGAGAGGGGGGUCACAGGAAGCUCUCAAUCACUGUGGAUACGCGGAGCACCCCACCGCGACUUCUUGCUUGUGUAACGUACGUGCUCUAUGGGAGAAUAAUGUCACGCAACAGAAAUAGAAAUAUACCAGCUGGGUCCUGAGCAGAUUCUUCAGUAAGUGAGCUUUCAAGGACUCCAAAUUCCUACCCAGGUUCUUAAAAUGAUUUGCAGACAAGCAGGAAGUUCCAUUCCUGUUGGCAUGGCUGGUGCCUGGUCUUGUAGGCGGAGGGGAGCUUGCAAGGGGCAGGCGAGGCCAGACGCAGGAAGUGGUGCCCGCCCUUGGAUUCAGUCGGACCACAGGUGUGGGCCACGACCCCUCGGCUUUUGGAGGGUGAGAGGGAGGGGUGAGGAGCGUGACCAGGAUCAUUCUCAGGGGCCAGGUGAUAGUUGAGUCCCCUGGUUGUGCAACCUUGGAACAAGGUGGGGGACAUGGGGUUCCCCUCUCCGGGCUGAGGAGGCCAGAGCAAGCAGCUCCCUGAAGAAUCCAAAUUCUAGGGUGGGAGUGAAAUUAAAGUGUUACAUGCACAAGCGAUAAAGAAAUGUCACCAGGAUGAGCCCAAAAUCGUGAGCUGAUCCCUCACUUCCCUCCUCUCACUUCCCUCGGGCCUCACCGUGAUGGAAGGAAACACACUGCAAAUUCGAGACCAGCUCGGAACUCCCGGAAAUGCUCCAGCCGCUGGAGCUCGGCUUCUCCUUCUGUCGAAUGGGCACAAUCCGCCCACUUCAGCAGCUUCCUGUCUGAGAUGCUAGGGGAGGUCCCUGGCACGGGGCCCGCUUCACAGGCAUCCAGUCCCUGCUGUUCCUCAUGCUUCUUUCUUACACGCGGCGCAAUCACUCACCUCUCCAGGCCUCAGUUUCCUUAUCUGGAAAAUGGGGGAGGCAUGUUGUCCACCUUCCCACUGAGGGAAGCCUGUGAGCUAGAAGACAGUAGGGGGACGCCUCUGUCCCCGCUGAGCCCUGGAAGUGCUGAGUAGGGGCUGGGGGGGAUGGAGAUGUCCGAGGAGCUGACCCUGCCCUGGAGACUUGUUGCCCCUCCCUCGGCCACCCUCCUGGUUGGUCUGCUCCCCGUUCUCCGUGGCUCUCAAGCUCUGAGAAAAUAGGAGACCCAAGCUCGGCUCAAAUCGCACCUGUCACCUCUGAGGCUCCCUCAGGGGUCCACGGGCUGACCGUCCUCCCUGGGUUGAAGAAACGUGUCAUCUUGGUUCUUCUCUGGGUCAACGUUCUCUGCAUUAGACAAGACAGAUCCUGGAGCCUUUCUCCUCAUGAUGGGAAAUCAGUCAGUCCGUCUCCAGCAGGUAUUCACCGAACAAAACACCUAGGACAAUGUUUCUGCUCCAGGUGUGUACGAACUGGCUACAGUACCCAUACUGUAUACGGUGUUUGGAACAGUGGGGGGUACAUGAAACUUUGUAGAUGUGUGUAAAUAUGUGUAUACCUCCAAGAGUUUCUUCACCAGGUCCCUAUGGCGUACAGUUCAGGCCACUGCCGUGUCUUUCUUGGAGCGUAACAGUAAAUGUUCAUAUAGACACAUACACAUAUAAGAGUUGGAAAUGCAAAGGCAUCAGAGAGGUUAAGUAUCUUGCCCAAAGUCACACAGCAGGUAAGUGGCAGAGCUGGGAUCUGAACCCCGACAGUCCGGCUCCGCUCACCAGCAACAGCCUCUGAUUUGCCCUUCUGCCUGCAGAAUCAGCCCCUCCAACCACCUUCCACACACUGAAUCGACCAUCCCCUGCUUAAAGGGGCGGCCUCUCGCCUGUGGGAUGGCAGUGAAACCCCUUGGGCAGGUUCCGCUGCCCUUCCCUGCCUUGUUUUUAGAAGUGGCCCCUUUGCAACAUACAUUUGAGAUCAAUGUCUCUCAGUCUUUUUUCGUAUAAAGCCUCCUUUAUAAUAUCAAAAUAAUUCCUGAGUCGAGCAUGACAAUAAUUCUAUUUUUAGUAGCUACUGAUUGAAAAAAAAUCUACCAAGAAAAAGCUACCAUGAAUUCAGCAAUACUUUUAAAUAAAUUUGAUAAGUUGUUCUAUGUGAUAAAUUAUUUUUUCAGUUUAUAAACCAGGCUGGAUUCAGAGGUAAAUUCUCAGACUUCUAUAAUAAAUCCUUGGAUCCAGAGAUCCUUAGCCCUCAGCUUGGAAACCACUUUUUUUCCCCCCUUCCAAAAUCUUGCAGGUUCCUGAGGCACAUUUGAACAUGCUGAUCCCUUGUCCUGGAGUGACCCUCCCUAAGGACCCGGCACGAGCAUUGCCUCCUCUGGGAAGUCCUCCCUGACUCGUCGCCCCACCAUGGCCAGUGAACGUCCCUGCCCCAUCCUCUCUGCACCGUGGCCCGUUCCAUCCGUGCCCACUUCACACUGUCUUGUCAUUGUUUGUUGGCAAACACUGUUGUCUAAUUUGGCCAUUGAGAACAAGAGCUUUGGCAUCUACGGGACCCAGGUUCCUGGCUUGGCUGAGGCGUCUCCUAGCUCUGGAAACUUGGGCAAGUCCCUCCGCUAGUUUUGGGCAUCAGAUUCUUCAUUUGUAAAAUGCAGAUGCUCAUACCGCCUGUCUGCCCAGCAUCCCAUAACUCGUUCUGGUAACAGAGACUGGCUUUUCCCCUCCCUCCUCCCUUCAUCCUUCUUCCUCCCUUCCUCCUUUCCUUCCUCCCUUCCUUCCUUCCUACCUACUUUUGCAUCAGGAAUUCCUUCCAUGCGGUUUGAUAGGCUGACAGUGGGGGGCGGGUGUUCCAGACGUGGCCCAUAAGAGAACUCCAUCCCCUGGUCAUAGUGAUUGGUCUAAAGAUGAGUGUGUAAACCCAAAUGAACCUUUUCUAGACCUGCUUGGAACUCUCUGUAAGAAAAUGGGAAGGGAUUGUCUCUUCACACAGGGGUUGCUAAGCAGGUGGGAUGCAGUCCUAAAGGAGUGGGCAGCCAUCUUAGCCACCACAUAGAGAGAAUCUGUCUGAGAAAUGGAGAGAAAGGUGAAACCUUGAUUAUAUCAUAUGAGCUCCUUGAUCCAGCCAUUCCUGAAGACAGAUGCACAUCUGGGCUUCCAGUUACAAAAGCCAAUAAAUCCUCCUCCCCCCACACACAUACCCCUUUUUUAAGAACUUAAGUCAGCAUGACACAAGUUUAUCCCACUUGCAGCAAAAAGACUCCUGACUAUGAUAGUCGAUUAUAUUGACGGUUCCUGAUGAACUACUCUUUUUACUAUUCAUGCCCUUGUGUUGUCACCUCCUCUUGACUUCCGGUAGGGCUUGCAGUUUGAUGUAAUUAGUGGAAUCGGAUGGAAGUGAUGCUGUGCCAGUUCUGGGCCUAAGCCUGAGGAAGCCUGAAAGCUUCUGUGCUCUCGGGAGCCCUGAGCUGCCAUGUAAGUGCAGGCACCCUGCUGGAGAGACCACGUGGAGAUGCCACAUGAGGAGGGAGAGGCCCAGACACCACGCAGAGAGAUAGCAGCCCAGCUUCCCCGUGUCCUAGCUGAGCCCAGUCCCCGUCUCCCUGCCAGCCGGAUGCAGCCACAGGAGGGAGCACAGACAAAAGCAGAAGAACCUCUCAGUUGAGCCCCGUUCAGAUGACAGAAUUUGGAGAGCUGAUGAAAGGAUUGUUGUCUUAAGCCCCGGUGUUCUGGUGUAGCCUGUUACACAGCCACAGAGAACUGAAGCCCUGACAAACAUGCGGCUUCACGGGGUUGUUGUGGGAACGGGGUAAGAAGCGUGUAAAUUACCUGGCACCUGGCUGGCAUGUGGGAGGUGCUCCUCAAGCAUCAACUAUUAGUUGUCUUCUUGUGGCCGUUGCUACAUGUUUGCUGCCUAAAUUAGAUUAUGUACUUAUUGGGGCAACACGUGUGUCCUACGCAUUGCUGUAUCUCCCGGGAUGCAGCACAGGACCGGGCAUAUGCUAGGCAUUCUGACAACGUUGCUGUCGAUGAACAAAUGAAUGGACAGCAAGGGGAAGUGUUUGCAAAAUGCGAAACCCGGACCCUUCUGCACAGUUUGUCUUAGCCCAUAUUUUUUGAUCUGAACAUGCUUCAGGUGAAAUUCUAUUCAAAGGAUAUGUGGACCACUGAGAUCUCCAGGACAACUGGUCUCCUCGUAGCAACUCAACGAAGCGGGCUGAGGGAGGCUCCCCCACCCUGUGGCUGCGCCAUCUGGAACACGGGCUCUCAUUGGUUGGUGCACCAGGGGAACACAGGGCGUGGAGAAUACCACAUUGGCUCUUAAAUUCUUUCCCAUAGAAGGGACGCGCCUUACUUCCAGUUACUUUUCAUUGGCCAAAGCCAGUCACCCGGCCCCAGCUAACUUCAAGAGGCAGGAAGUGCAGUCCUCCGCUGUGGCCUGGAGGAGAGGAGAAUCAGAAUGCCAGUGAGCAGCAAGGAUGUCUGCUCUUCCAUCUCCGCACCACUCGUCCCAGGGGGCAAGGCCACGUAGUACCCAUGUGGCCACUCGGGACUCACACACGUCUGACAGGGGGCUGUUCUCAAAGAGGGAACAGUUUUAAACCAGGGAGCCACCCCAGGAGAUGCUUAUGAAAUAAGGGCAAGACAGCCGACAGCUGUGCCGCACAGAUUAGCUGUGGUGAUAGAGAAUAACAGGCCUAUUACCCCACGCGUCUCAUGUGACAGAGAGAAAAUCAAGAUCUACUAAUAAAGUGCCUUGCCUAGGCCUUAGAGAUCAAUUAAUUUUUCUUUUAAAAAUUUAAUAUUUAUGAGAUAAAGUCGGUGUGGCAAAAUGGUAACAGUAAUUCUUAGCAGUGGGUAUGUCAUUCAGUGAAAUUCCUUCAACUUUUCUGUACGUUUGAAAUUUUCAUAAUAAAAUGUUGGCAAAUUUAAAACUACUUUUAGAAAAGUUAAUAGGUUUACAUGCUUCCGAAUCGAA